CCUACGGGAGGCAGCAGUGAGGAAUAUUGGUCAAUGGGCGGGAGUCUGAACCAGCCAAGCCGCGUGAGGGAAGAAGGUACAGCGUAUUGUAAACCUCUUUUGUCAGGGAAUAAAGGCGGGUACUCGUCCCCGGCUGAGGGUACCUUACGAAUAAGCAUCGGCUAACUCCGUGCCAGCAGCCGCGGUAAUACGGAGGAUUCGAGCGUUAUCCGGAUUUAUUGGGUUUAAAGGGUGCGCAGGCGGCCUGUUAAGUCAGCGGUAAAAGCCCGGGGCUCAACCCCGGCGAGCCGUCGAAACUGGCGGGCUGGAGUGGGAGAGAGGUAGGCGGAAUGUGCGGUGUAGCGGUGAAAUGCUUAGAGAUCGCGCAGAACCCCGAUUGCGAAGGCAGCGUACCGGGUCAACACUGACGCUGAGGCACGAAAGCGUGGGUAUCGAACAGGAUUAGAUACCCUGGUAGUC
rnacentral:rRNA from 1 species